rnacentral:lncRNA from 1 species
GCCCUUUGAUCAACUAUUAUUCCUGAGUUUUUGUAAGAUUUUCAAAUAAAACUCAGAGAUUCCUUGUAUGACGCUUUCAAGUCUCUCAUAUGUGGUAUUUUUUGAUCCUCUCCAAGGCAAGUGUAUGGCAUGCCUUAUCUCUUCUCUCAUAAUAUGUGGUAUUUGUAUGACUAAGGCAUAGUGAAAUUGCCUUCUCUCUCUCUCACCCUACUUCUAAUAGGCUUAUGUGGAGCUUAUAGGUGGAGGAGACAAUUCAAACCUACUUGCAUGUAUUGCAUAGUUAAGUCAUGGAUCUAUAGAAACUAGUCAUACAAUCAAGUCAUAAGUGCAUGUGAGUGCAGUGAAUGAAAUGAGUGAUAAGAAUGACGAUGAUAAUAAGGGGUGAUGAUUGAUGGUGGAGAUCUAAUUCUACAUUUGCUCCUUAGGGAUAACAUACCUCCCUAAUCUAAAAAUAAGGACUUGGCUACUUUUUCUUUCUUUUGGGAUCUUUGUCCUCUUUAUUUUAUUUUCUCUCUUUUUUUUAACAGCCAAUCCUUUUAAUGCACUAAUAACAUAGGGGGUAUCAAGUGAAAUAACUAGAGCUUUAUUGGAUAAGUAAAAAAGGACAUAAUGGCAAUGAAUAUUUUUAAGUGUCCUCUUCUAGUGUAGGAGUAGAACAUUUUCAGAAUAAAUGAAGUGUAUGCUUGUGAAUAGAGGAAUGCAUACUCCCAGAGUAGGAGCAACAUAGUACAUGUUUCUUGGAUAGAAACAGCACAAAGUAUAGUGCGUAUAUGUGGGUGGUACUUCUAGGAACAGAAGUAGCAUAGGGAGACUAUGUAGUGGAUGUAAGUGGUUGCAUACCUGUGAGGAUUGAAGUAGCUAAGAUCAAUGGAUGAAGAGCACAUAGUAUUGACUUUAACUGUAUGACUAGUUCCUUAGGGUCAACAGAACUUAACUAUCCCCAAUUCUUAUAGGUUGAAAUAUAAGUGGGAGUUUUUUCUAAUCAAGUAAGCAUGAGUAUUUGGCUUUGGUAGGAAUUUUGAACUCUCAUCAUAAAGGAACUCGUCUUGCAGAAAUUUAAGAUUUUCAAAUUAAAUUCUCCAGAACUCUAUCAUCUCUAGGAGCAAGAUUGACAGCAGCUCAAAACAUUCCCAUAUUAUAUACGUCAACUACCUAGAUUUAGAUCAAGCAUUCACUACCCACAAAUUUUAGGCUCAAAGCAAAUAUUAAAUCUAAACAGUUGUGUCCAAAACUCGGGAGAGUACAAUGUUGAAAACUAGGUACUUGCAAGCAAUUACGGC